UUGACCUCGGAUCAGGUAGGGAUACCCGC
rnacentral:ncRNA from 29 species